GGGACGGUAGCUCAGUGGUAGAGCGAUUGCCUUCCAUGCAUGAAGCCCUGGGUUCAAUUCCUCAGCACCA
rnacentral:tRNA from 1 species